UACGUAGGGGGCAAGCGUUGUCCGGAUUUAUUGGGCGUAAAGAGCGUGUAGGCGGCCAAGCAGGUCAGCUGUGAAAACUCGAGGCUCAACCUCGAGACGUCGGUUGAAACCGCUUGGCUAGAGUCCGGAAGAGGAGAGUGGAAUUCCCGGUGUAGCGGUGAAAUGCGCAGAUAUCGGGAAGAACACCCGUGGCGAAGGCGGCUUUCUGGGCAUUUCCUGACGCUGAGACGCGAAAGCGUGGGGAGCGAACCGG
rnacentral:rRNA from 1 species